AUAAUGAGGUUUGACGUCAUGACAGUUGCUCCGCCCUGAUUGAUCCUUAUAAAGAAAUAGAGCUCAAAAUAACUAUUUACCGAUAUUUGCAAUAAUUUGUAACAAACGGCAAUAUUUCCAUGUUUAAAUAAAUAAUUAUUAGUGAUUUUCUCCUGUAUAGAAUAGCAUAUUUUUUUAAAUAAUUCUCUUUCUUAUGUGCCGUUUGGCUGCAUUCGGCUUCAGCCAAGCGCUUGCACUCGAUGACACGGAAUGUUGUUUACAUCUAAAAACGUGGCGACAUCAGCUGAGAUAUGCAGUGGAUUUUAAUGCAAUACCAAGACAUUCAUUAAAGAAAAUAGGGAUAAGAUAAAAGACAAGGCAUUGUUUAUCCCUAAUACGAGAAUAUGAGGACAUUAUUACAGAAGAUAAUGGAAGACUGAGACGAUCUGCACUAGCUCCCUAGAUCCAUCACUGCAGUACAUUCAGCCCAGCAGUCAAGAGUUCAAGGCUUGAAGAAUGAAUAAAUACAAAAUGCAUCUUAUUUCUCCACAGGCUAUUCCUAAAGAAUUGGACCAAUGGAUUUAUUCAGGCAGCAAGUUAAUCCAUCAUGUAAGGAAAAUGAGUUGAUUUCAUCCACAAGAACAUGAAGUGAUGGAAAUAAUUUGCAGCUGCUCAGUAUUCCUUGUACCAGUCUACCUUAAUUUGAAAAAGCUGUUUAUGAAAUAAAAUUUCUUCAUAAAAAAUGAUUUGACUUUUUCAGAUACAUGUACUUACUGUACAGGUUUUGAAAAGGCUAUUAAGAUAUGAUAAUCUUGACUUGCAUAUAUUUGUGUGGUGGAUGUCAAUGUCCAUCAAGAUUUUAUUUUCAGCAUGUACAUUGUGUUUAUUUGUUUUUCUUAAUAAUAGUAACUAAAAAGUACGUAAGGGUUGCCCGCAACCCUGUGUCUCGCCUGCUGUCGCUGUGGUUAGUAAGAAAUGAUUGUCUGAUAAACUGAAGCAUUUAUUGACAUUUCAGAAGGAAUAA